rnacentral:rRNA from 1 species
GACGAACGCUGGCGGCGUGCUUAACACAUGCAAGUCGAACGGAAAGGCCCUGCUUGCAGGGUACUCGAGUGGCGAACGGGUGAGUAACACGUGGGUGAUCUGCCCUGCACUUCGGGAUAAGCCUGGGAAACUGGGUCUAAUACCGGAUAGGAGCCAUUUUUAGUGUGAUGGUUGGAAAGUUUUUUCGGUGUAGGAUGAGCUCGCGGCCUAUCAGCUUGUUGGUGGGGUAAUGGCCUACCAAGGCGGCGACGGGUAGCCGGCCUGAGAGGGUGGACGGCCACAUUGGGACUGAGAUACGGCCCAGACUCCUACGGGAGGCAGCAGUGGGGAAUAUUGCACAAUGGGCGCAAGACUGAUGCAGCGACGCCGCGUGGGGGAUGACGGCCUUCGGGUUGGAAACUCCUUUCGCUAGGGACGAAGCUUUUUGUGACGGUACCUAGAUAAGAAGCACCGGCUAACUACGUG